rnacentral:misc_RNA from 1 species
AACGCACGAGACCUGCGGACCUGCGGAGGGAUCAUUACAGAGUUUACAACUCCCAAACCCUUAUGUGAACAUACCAAGAUGUUGCUUCGGCGGACUCGCCCCGGCGUCCGGACGGCCUAGCGCCGCCCGCGGCCCGGACUCAGGCGGCCGCCGGAGACCACCAAACUCUUUUGUAUCAUGAGUAUCUUCUGAAUCCGCCGCAAGGCAAAACAAAUGAAUCAAAACUUUUAACAAUGGAUC